GCUCCGGUGGCCUAUUGGUUAAUGCGUCCGCCUCGGAUGCGGGAGGUCGUGGGUUCGAUCUCCGGCCGAUUCA